rnacentral:piRNA from 1 species
UGUGUUGACUUUGUGGAAAUUAUAUG